rnacentral:rRNA from 1 species
AUUGAACGCUGGCGGCAGGCCUAACACAUGCAAGUCGAGCGGAUGAAGGGAGCUUGCUCCUGGAUUCAGCGGCGGACGGGUGAGUAAUGCCUAGGAAUCUGCCUGGUAGUGGGGGAUAACGUCCGGAAACGGGCGCUAAUACCGCAUACGUCCUGAGGGAGAAAGUGGGGGAUCUUCGGACCUCACGCUAUCAGAUGAGCCUAGGUCGGAUUAGCUAGUUGGUGGGGUAAAGGCCUACCAAGGCGACGAUCCGUAACUGGUCUGAGAGGAUGAUCAGUCACACUGGAACUGAGACACGGUCCAGACUCCUACGGGAGGCAGCAGUGGGGAAUAUUGGACAAAGGGCGAAAGCCUGAUCCGGCCAUGCCGCGUGUGUGAAGAAGGUCUUCGGAUUGUAAAGCACUUUAAGUUGGGAGGAAGGGCAGUAAGUUAAUACCUUGCUGUUUUGACGUUACCAACAGAAUAAGCACCGGCUAACUUCGUG